rnacentral:rRNA from 1 species
UACGAAGGGGGCUAGCGUUGCUCGGAAUCACUGGGCGUAAAGGGUGCGUAGGCGGAUUGCUAAGUCAGGGGUGAAAUCCUGGAGCUCAACUCCAGAACUGCCUUUGAUACUGGCGAUCUUGAGUCCGGGAGAGGUGAGUGGAACUGCGAGUGUAGAGGUGAAAUUCGUAGAUAUUCGCAAGAACACCAGUGGCGAAGGCGGACUCUCUGGACACUUACUGACGCUGAGACGCGGAAAGCGUGGGGAGCAAACAGGG